UGCCCAGCAACUCCUAUCCCUAGGUACCUCCACGCGGUACCGGCCGGAAACUAUGAGCAACCUUAGGAAAGAUCGGGUAACAACCCCGGUGGGAACUUUGGUGGUAGGCUGACAGGGAAGG
rnacentral:ribozyme from 1 species